GGAUUGUGGUUCAGUGGUAGAGUGCUUGUUUAGCAUAUAUGAGGCACUGGGUUUGAUCCCUGGCACCA
rnacentral:tRNA from 1 species